rnacentral:rRNA from 1 species
CUUAACACAUGCAAGUCGAGGGGCAGCAUGGUCUUAUCUUGCUAAGACUGAUGGCGACCGGCGCACGGGUGAGUAACACGUAUCCAACCUGCCGUCUACUCUUGGACAGCCUUCUGAAAGGAAGAUUAAUACAAGAUGGCAUCAUGAGUCCGCAUGUUCACAUGAUUAAAGGUAUUCCGGUAGACGAUGGGGAUGCGUUCCAUUAGAUAGUAGGCGGGGUAACGGCCCACCUAGUCUUCGAUGGAUAGGGGUUCUGAGAGGAAGGUCCCCCACAUUGGAACUGAGACACGGUCCAAACUCCUACGGGAGGCAGCAGUGAGGAAUAUUGGUCAAUGGGCGAGAGCCUGAACCAGCCAAGUAGCGUGAAGGAUGACUGCCCUAUGGGUUGUAAACUUCUUUUAUAAAGGAAUAAAGUCGGGUAUGCAUACCCGUUUGCAUGUACUUUAUGAAUAAGGAUCGGCUAACUCCGUGCCAGCAGCCGCGGUAAUACGGAGGAUCCGAGCGUUAUCCGGAUUUAUUGGGUUUAAAGGGAGCGUAGAUGGAUGUUUAAGUCAGUUGUGAAAGUUUGCGGCUCAACCGUAAAAUUGCAGUUGAUACUGGAUAUCUUGAGUGCAGUUGAGGCAGGCGGAAUUCGUGGUGUAGCGGUGAAAUGCUUAGAUAUCACGAAGAACUCCGAUUGCGAAGGCAGCCUGCUAAGCUGCAACUGACAUUGAGGCUCGAAAGUGUGGGUAUCAAACAGGAUUAGAUACCCUGGUAGUCCACACGGUAAACGAUGAAUACUCGCUGUUUGCGAUAUACUGCAAGCGGCCAAGCGAAAGCGUUAAGUAUUCCACCUGGGGAGUACGCCGGCAACGGUGAAACUCAAAGGAAUUGACGGGGGCCCGCACAAGCGGAGGAACAUGUGGUUUAAUUCGAUGAUACGCGAGGAACCUUACCCGGGCUUAAAUUGCAGAUGAAUUACGGUGAAAGCCGUAAGCCGCAAGGCAUCUGUGAAGGUGCUGCAUGGUUGUCGUCAGCUCGUGCCGUGAGGUGUCGGCUUAAGUGCCAUAACGAGCGCAACCCUUGUUGUCAGUUACUAACAGGUUCCGCUGAGGACUCUGACAAGACUGCCAUCGUAAGAUGUGAGGAAGGUGGGGAUGACGUCAAAUCAGCACGGCCCUUACGUCCGGGGCUACACACGUGUUACAAUGGGGGGUACAGAGGGCCGCUACCACGCGAGUGGAUGCCAAUCCCCAAAACCUCUCUCAGUUCGGACUGGAGUCUGCAACCCGACUCCACGAAGCUGGAUUCGCUAGUAAUCGCGCAUCAGCCACGGCGCGGUGAAUACGUUCCCGGGCCUUGUACACACCGCCCGUCAAGCCAUGGGAGCCGGGGGUACCUGAAGUGCGUAACCGCGAGGAGCGCCCUAGGGUAAAACUGGUGACUGGGGCUAAGUCG